AGAGUUUGAUCCUGGCUCAGGACGAACGCUGGCGGCGUGCCUAAUACAUGCAAGUCGAACGAACUCUGGUAUUGAUUGGUGCUUGCAUCAUGAUUUACAUUUGAGUGAGUGGCGAACUGGUGAGUAACACGUGGGAAACCUGCCCAGAAGCGGGGGAUAACACCUGGAAACAGAUGCUAAUACCGCAUAACAACUUGGACCGCAUGGUCCGAGCUUGAAAGAUGGCUUCGGCUAUCACUUUUGGAUGGUCCCGCGGCGUAUUAUCUAGAUGGUGGGGUAACGGCUCACCAUGGCAAUGAUACGUAGCCGACCUGAGAGGGUAAUCGGCCACAUUGGGACUGAGACACGGCCCAAACUCCUACGGGAGGCAGCAGUAGGGAAUCUUCCACAAUGGACGAAAGUCUGAUGGAGCAACGCCGCGUGAGUGAAGAAGGGUUUCGGCUCGUAAAACUCUGUUGUUAAAGAAGAACAUAUCUGAGAGUAACUGUUCAGGUAUUGACGGUAUUUAACCAGAAAGCCACGGCUAACUACGUGCCAGCAGCCGCGGUAAUACGUAGGUGGCAAGCGUUGUCCGGAUUUAUUGGGCGUAAAGCGAGCGCAGGCGGUUUUUUAAGUCUGAUGUGAAAGCCUUCGGCUCAACCGAAGAAGUGCAUCGGAAACUGGGAAACUUGAGUGCAGAAGAGGACAGUGGAACUCCAUGUGUAGCGGUGAAAUGCGUAGAUAUAUGGAAGAACACCAGUGGCGAAGGCGGCUGUCUGGUCUGUAACUGACGCUGAGGCUCGAAAGUAUGGGUAGCAAACAGGAUUAGAUACCCUGGUAGUCCAUACCGUAAACGAUGAAUGCUAAGUGUUGGAGGGUUUCCACCCUUCAGUGCUGCAGCUAACGCAUUAAGCAUUCCGCCUGGGGAGUACGGCCGCAAGGCUGAAACUCAAAGGAAUUGACGGGGGCCCGCACAAGCGGUGGAGCAUGUGGUUUAAUUCGAAGCUACGCGAAGAACCUUACCAGGUCUUGACAUACUAUGCAAAUCUAAGAGAUUAGACGUUCCCUUCGGGGACAUGGAUACAGGUGGUGCAUGGUUGUCGUCAGCUCGUGUCGUGAGAUGUUGGGUUAAGUCCCGCAACGAGCGCAACCCUUAUUAUCAGUUGCCAGCAUUAAGUUGGGCACUCUGGUGAGACUGCCGGUGACAA
rnacentral:rRNA from 2 species